UUUUAGAUAGUAUAAACAAGUACACUUACCUUCCAAGUAAAAAGUCUGGAGCCAGCCUCCAAA
rnacentral:tRNA from 1 species